rnacentral:rRNA from 1 species
UACGUAGGGUGCGAGCGUUGUCCGGAAUUAUUGGGCGUAAAGGGCUCGUAGGCGGUUUGUCGCGUCGGGAGUGAAAUCCACUGGCUUAACUGGUGGCUUGCUUCGAUACGGCAGACUGGAGGUAUGCAGGGGAGAACGGAAUUCCUGGUGUAGCGGUGAAAUGCGCAGAUAUCAGGAGGAACACCGUGGCGAAGGCGGUCUCUGGGCAUGUCCUGACGCUGAGGAGCGAAAGUGUGGGAGCGAACAGG